AUACGGAGGGUGCGAGCGUUAUUCGGAAUCACUGGGCGUAAAGGGUGCGUAGGCGGUUUGAUAAGUCUGAUGUGAAAUCCUAUGGCUCAACCAUAGAACUGCAUUGGAAACUGUCAGACUAGAAUACUGAAGGGGCAGAUGGAAUUAGUGGUGUAGGGGUAAAAUCCGUAGAUAUCACUAGGAAUACCGAAAGCGAAAGCGAUCUGCUGGGAAGUUAUUGACGCUGAGGCACGAAAGCGUGGGGAGCGAACAGGAUUAGAUACCCGAGUAGUCC
rnacentral:rRNA from 1 species